rnacentral:lncRNA from 1 species
AAGAAAAAAAAAGGCUAAGAAACUCUAAUAUGAACAGUUAAAAAGAUAGAAAGCUGGUUUGAGAGAGAGUAAGGGUUUGAUAGUGUAAAUGUAAAAAUAAUUUGCUUAGAUUCACAGACAUCAGAUGUAGUAAAAAAAAAAAUGUUUACUUAGAGAUAGUAGUAGAGAUUCAACUCAGUAAAAUAAAGAUUAUAUUGAAAGAACUGAGAACCAAGGACUAAGCUUGGGGAGAGCAACAGAAUUAGGAUAAAUAAUGAGUUAAUGAGGGAUGAAGUACCACCUGUGGGGUUCAGUGUACACCAUUGGGGUGAUGGGUACACUAAAAGCCCAGAUUUCCCCAGUAUGCAAUAUAUCUGUGUAACACAAAUGCACCUGUACCCCUAAAUCCAUAAGAAUAAAACAAUUUCACCCCAAAAAACCCAAUGAAUUAAAAAGAUAAUUAUUUCAUUUUAAGCAGAAUAAAAAAAGGUUUUGAGGGACAGAAGUCAAGAGAUGAUUAUUUCAAAGUUUAGGCAUCUGUUACCAUAGGGGGGUGUAGGGGGAUUGAUUAGACAACAUUAUUGGAAUUAGCAAGAUGGAGAAUAUAGUUCAAGUUGAGUGGAAAUAACCAAUUGGAGAGAAUGGUGAUGAAGAUGGAGGCAGAAUUAGAUCACUAGCCCAAGAAAUUUGGCCAAGAAAGUACACUAAAUUGAAUUGGGUUCUUAAAAGCCACAAAUUAUGAAAUAAUGACCAAUUGUAUUCUUGAUUGAGUUAUGUAUGCCAAUUUUUGUCUUCUUUUAGGGUUUCAAUCCACCUGUUCUUGUUUUUGUUCAGUCCAUUGAAAGGGCUAAAGAACUUUUUCAUGAGCUCAUAUAUGAAGGUAUUAAUGUGGAUGUUAUUCAUGCAGAGAGAACACAACAACAGAGAGAUAACACAGUCCACAGUUUCAGAGCAGGAAAAAUCUGGGUUCUGAUUUGUACAGCCUUGCUAGCAAGAGGGAUUGAUUUUAAAGGUGUGAACUUGGUGAUCAACUAUGACUUUCCAACCAGCUCAGUGGAAUAUAUCCACAGGAUAGGUCGAACUGGAAGAGCAGGGAAUAAGGGAAAAGCAAUUACAUUUUUCACUGAGGAUGAUAAGCCAUUAUUAAGAAGCGUUGCUAAUGUUAUACAGCAGGCUGGGUGUCCUGUACCAGAAUACAUAAAAGGUUUUCAGAAACUACUAAGGUACAAUCUUGAAUUUACCUGUAUCUUUGUCUGUCU